GCUGGGUGUUGGGGCGGGCGCCUGUAAUCCCAGCUACUCAGGAGGCUAAGGCAGGAGAAUCACUUGAACCUGGGAGGUGGAGGUUGCAGUGAGCCAAGAUUGUGUCACUGCACUCCAGCCUGGGUGACAGAGUGAGACUCUGUCUUUA
rfam:Homo sapiens chromosome 6, GRCh38 reference primary assembly.